GCUUGAUUCCCCGGCCAUCCUUAUCAAAGACCUUCCAGGUGAAUAGGCAGCCGUCCUCAGCAGUGGUCAGCAGGAAUUGAUCAUCAAAGAUUCCAUUCGUACACAGCACCAUCUGUGCCACCAGAAAUCAGUUUGCUAUCAUCUGCAUUCCACACAACUGAGCGAAUCUGCAGGAGACAAAGAUACCCAGUGAAGAGGAACCUUCAAAAACAGCCCAGAGAGAGUGGACUUCUGGAAUGGAAGGCCAGUAGACAAGAUUUGACUCUGGAGGGGAUGUCUGGGUCAACAGGUAUUUGGAGUCUGGAGAAAAAGCCAUGCUAAUAAAUUUCUGAACUUGGAAGUCAAAAUUAUUAAGAACUCUGCGCUUCCGGCAAGGGAUGGAUGACAGUUCAUAAAUGGUAAUGACAGGUUUUUCCUGCACAGUCUCAGAGAUAGCGAGGUACCGCCGAUUGGGGCUGAUGGACAAGGCCAACAUGGCCUGACUCCUGUCUGAGCCUGCAAACAGAGGAAAAAGGAAAUGAGGG